rnacentral:rRNA from 1 species
ACGGCGAGUGAAGCGGCAAAAGCUCAAAUUUGAAAUCUGGUACCUUCGGUGCCCGAGUUGUAAUUUGGAGAGGGCAACUUUGGGGCCGUUCCUYGUCUAUGUUCCUUGGAACAGGACGUCAUAGAGGGUGAGAAUCCCGUGUGGCGAGGAGUGCGGUUCUUUGUAAAGUGCCUUCGAAGAGUCGAGUUGUUUGGGAAUGCAGCUCUAAGUGGGUGGUAAAUUCCAUCUAAAGCUAAAUAUUGGCGAGAGACCGAUAGCGAACAAGUACAGUGAUGGAAAGAUGAAAAGAACUUUGAAAAGAGAGUGAAAAAGUACGUGAAAUUGUUGAAAGGGAAGGGCAUUUGAUCAGACAUGGUGUUUUGUGCCCUCUGCUCCUUGUGGGUAGGGGAAUCUCGCAUUUCACUGGGCCAGCAUCAGUUUUGGUGGCAGGAUAAAUCCAUAGGAAUGUAGCUUGCCUCGGUAAGUAUUAUAGCCUGUGGGAAUACUGCCAGCUGGGACUGAGGACUGCGACGUAAGUCAAGGAUGCUGGCAUAA